rnacentral:rRNA from 1 species
CCUACGGGAGGCUGCAGUGAGGAAUAUUGGUCAAUGGACGAGAGUCUGAACCAGCCAAGUAGCGUGAAGGAUGACUGCCCUAUGGGUUGUAAACUUCUUUUAUAUGGGAAUAAAAUGUCUCACGUUUGGGUUUUUGUAUGUACCAUAUGAAUAAGGAACGGCUAACUCCGUGCCAGCAGCCGCGGUAAUACGGAGGAUCCGAGCGUUAUCCGGAUUUAUUGGGUUUAAAGGGAGCGUAGGUGGAUUGUUAAGUCGGUUGUGAAAGUUUGCGGCUCAACCGUAAAAUUGCAGUUGAAACUGGCAGUCUUGAGUACAGUAGAGGUGGGCGGAAUUCGUGGUGUAGCGGUGAAAUGCUUAGAUAUCACGAAGAACUCCGAUUGCGAAGGCAGCUCACUGGACUGCAACUGACACUGAGGCUCGAAAGUGUGGGUAUCAAACAGGAUUAGAUACCCUUGUAGUC